AGUGAACGCUGGCGGUAGGCCUAACACAUGCAAGUCGAACGGCAGCACAGUAAGAGCUUGCUCUUACGGGUGGCGAGUGGCGGACGGGUGAGGAAUACAUCGGAAUCUACUUUUUCGUGGGGGAUAACGUAGGGAAACUUACGCUAAUACCGCAUACGACCUACGGGUGAAAGCAGGGGAUCUUCGGACCUUGCGCGAUUGAAUGAGCCGAUGUCGGAUUAGCUAGUUGGCGGGGUAAAGGCCCACCAAGGCGACGAUCCGUAGCUGGUCUGAGAGGAAGAUCAGCCACACUGGAACUGAGACACGGUCCAGACUCCUACGGGAGGCAGCAGUGGGGAAUAUUGGACAAUGGGCGCAAGCCUGAUCCAGCCAUACCGCGUGGGUGAAGAAGGCCUUCGGGUUGUAAAGCCCUUUUGUUGGGAAAGAAAAGCAGCAGGUUAAUACCCCGCUGUUCUGACGGUACACAAAGAAUAAGCACCGGCUAACUUCGUG
rnacentral:rRNA from 1 species